rnacentral:rRNA from 1 species
UACGGAGGGGGCUAGCGUUGUUCGGAAUUACUGGGCGUAAAGCGUGCGCAGGCGGUUUUGUAAGCCAGAUGUGAAAUCCCCGGGCUCAACCUGGGAACUGCAUCUGUGACUGUAUAGCUAGAGUACGGUAGAGGGGGAUGGAAUUCCGCGUGUAGCAGUGAAAUGCGUAGAUAUGCGGAGGAACACCGAUGGCGAAGGCAAUCCCCCUGGACCUGUACUGACGCUCAUGCACGAAAGCGUGGGGGAGCAAACAGG